rnacentral:rRNA from 1 species
AUGAUGGGUGGAAAACACCCCCAGACAAUAUUGACAGACCAAGCAAGAGCCAUGGAGAUAGCAAUCGGAAGCGAGCUCCCUAAUACCGUCCAUAGGUGGUGCAAGUGGCACGUUCUCAAGAAAGCAAAAGAAAGCCUUGGCCCACUGUACACAAGCAAGAGCGAGUUUAGGGCUAAAUUCCAUAAAGUUAAGAAUCACAUGAUAAGUGAGGAGGAAUUUGAGACGGCAUGGGCUUCAUUAGUUGAGAAAUACAAUCUGAAAUCCCACAAUUACAUGACAAACCUGUACGAGAUACGGCACAAGUGGGCGAAGCCAUACUUCAGAGGAGUCUUCUGUGUGAAAAUGACCAGCACACAGCGUAGCGAGAGCGCCAACAACAUGUUGAAGAUUUACAUGCCACCAGCUAGCCCAAUGCAUGUAUUCGUGCGCCAGUACAUGAUGCUUCAAUUCGACCGUGAAUCAGAUGAGAGCUACCAGGAAAAAAGAACAAGGAUUAGUGGCGCUGUAAUGAGGACAAACAUUGCUAUCGAGAGGCACGUGAGUAAGGUUUACACAAGAAAGAUGUUUGAAUUAUUUGGUGAUAAUCUCUUCGAGGGUGGAUCAUACCAAAUUGAGGAAGUGGAGAAGAAGAAAAUAUAUAUUGCAAGGCACAGUGACGCUAAAAAAAGAGAGAGGUGGAGCAAGCUAGAAUAUGUGGUGACCAUAUCUGCCGAUGGGGAUUGGUUUGAUUGCAAAUGCGGGCAGUUUGCACACAUGGGGUUGCUAUGCUGCCAUACCUUGAAGGUGAUGGACCACAUUGGCGUGCAGGAAAUACCUAAGUGGCACAUUAUGAAAAGGUGGACAAAAAAUGCUAGGGACAUCUUGCCACAGCACAUUGCUCACUUCCAAAAGGACCAGGCUGCUAAUCAAUCAUUUACCCGUCGGAGUUCGACUCUGUACCUGCAUGCUAUGGAACUGGUGAGGAUUGGAGACUCAUCAGUAGUUGCGUACGAGUUGGUACUAAAGAAGAUGAAAGACUUGAUCGUGGAGGCAUCUCCAUUUGCUGAAAAUAGGGAUGGACUCGGGAUAGAGGAUAGGAUAGCUGCAUAA